GCAAGAUACCACGGGCGCACGGCGGAUGCCUUGGCACAGGGAGCCGAUGAAGGACGCGGCAAGCUGCGAUAAUCCCCGGCGAGGAGCACACAUCCUUCGACCCGGGGGUCUCCGAAUGGGCGAACCCAUCCACAGCAGUGUGGAUAUCCCCACCCCGAACACAUAGGGGUGGGGAGGACAACCCGGGGAACUGAAACAUCUAAGUACCCGGAGGAGAGGAAAUCAAUCUCGAGACUCCCCGAGUAGCGGCGAGCGAAAGGGGACCGAUGGCCAAACCGUCGAGCGGGCAUACCCGGCAGGGGUUCCGCCGACGGGGUUGCAGGGCCGCGCAUCCGGGGGCUGCCGCCCCCGGGCGCAGGUCCGGCUGGGGAGCGGAACGGCAUGGGAGGGCCGGCCGCAGCGGGUGACAGCCCCGUACGCGAACCCAGACCGGACGGCGCGACGCGGUCCCUGAGUAGGGCCGGGCACGUGAAACCCGGUCCGAACCUGGGUGGACCACCAUCCAAGCCUGAGUACUACCCUGUGACCGAUAGCGCACCAGUACCGUGAGGGAAAGGUGAAAAGCACCCCGGGAGGGGAGUGAAACAGUACCUGAAACCGUGCGCCCACGAGCAGUCGGAGCACCCUUUUAGGGUGUGACGGCGUGCCUUUUGUAGAAUGAGCCAGCGAGUCGCUGGCGCGGGGCGAGGUUAACCGAAAGGGAGCCGGAGCGAAAGCGAGCCUUAACAGGGCGACUUGAGUCCCGCGCCGCGGACGCGAAGCCGGGUGAGCUAUCCGUGGGCAGGCUGAAGCGGGGGUAAGACCCCGUGGAGGGCCGAACGCACGUCGGUUGAAAACGGCGGCGAUGACCUGCGGAUAGGGGUGAAAGGCCAAUCAAACCCGGAGAUAUCUCGUUCUCCCCGAAAUAGCUUUAGGGCUAGCGUCGCGCGUUCACCGCCGGAGGUAGAGCACCGGAUGGACGAGGGGGCUUCGCCGCCUACCGAAUCCAACCGAACUCCGAAUGCCGGCGGCCCAGAGCGCGGCAGUCAGAGCAUGUGGGCUAAGCUGUGUGCUCGAGAGGGAAACAGCCCGGACCGCCCGCUAAGGUCCCCAAGUUCCAGCCGAGUGGCAAAGGAUGUGCGUCCGCCCAGACAACCAGGAUGUUGGCUUAGAAGCAGCCAUCCAUUCAAAGAGUGCGUAACAGCUCACUGGUCGAGUGGACAUGCGCCGACAAUACACGGGGCUAAGCUGGACACCGAAGCGGCGGGAUUUUAAUUCAUUAGAAUCGGUAGGGGAGCUUCCCAUGGGCGGAGAAGCCGGAGGGCGACCGACGGUGGAGCGCAUGGGAGUGAGAAUGCUGGCAUGAGUAGCGAGAGACGAGAGAGUAACUCGUCCGCCGUGAACCCGAGGUUUCCUGGGCAAGGCUAAUCCUCCCAGGGUCAGUCGGGGGCUAAGGCGAGGCCGGUAGGCGUAGCCGACGCGCAGCAGGCAGACAUUCCUGCACCGCGCACGCGGCGCUACGACCGACGGGGCGACGGAUGGGGGUGGCUCGGCGGGGUUCUGGACGUCCCCGUGAUGGAGCGCGGCCCGCGGACCAGGGAAAUCCGGUCCGCAUUGAGGGCGAGGCUCCGGACGAAGCGACUGAGCGAAGCGAGUGAGCCCGAGGUCCCUAGAAAAACCCCUAGGCAGGCGCGUGCGCGCCCGUACCGCAAACCGACACAGGUGGGUGGGUAGAACAUACCGAGGCGAUCGGGUCAACCAUGGUCAAGGAACUCGGCACAAUGGCCCCGUAACUUCGGGAGAAGGGGUGCCCGCGCGUACGUGAACCGGCUUGCCCGGGGAGCGGAGGCGGGCCGCAGUGGAGAGGCCCAAGCGACUGUUUACCAAAAACACAGGACUCUGCAGAAGCCGCAAGGCGACGUAUAGGGUCUGACGCCUGCCCGGUGCCGGAAGGUCACGCGGAGGAGUUAGCCGAUUCGGCGAAGCCCCGAAGCCAAGCCCCGGUAAACGGCGGCCGUAACUAUAACGGUCCUAAGGUAGCGAAAUUCCUUGUCGGGUAAGUUCCGACCUGCACGAAAGGCGCAACGACUUGGGCGCUGUCUCGACCAUGGACCCGGUGAAAUUGCACUGGUCGUGAAGAUGCGACUUACCCGCGGAAGGACGGAAAGACCCCGUGAACCUUCACUGCAGCUUGGCAUUGGCCGCUGGUCCCGCGUGUAGAGGAUAGGCAGGAGGCACAGAUCCGGAGGCGCCAGCCCCCGGGGAGCCGCCCUUGGAAUACUGCCCUCGCGCGACCGGCGUCCUAACCCGAGGCCGUCAACCGGCUCGGGGACCGUGCCAGGCGGGCAGUUUGACUGGGGCGGUCGCCUCCUAAAGGGUAACGGAGGCGCGCGAAGGUCCGCUCGGGACGGUCGGCAACCGUCCUUUUGAAUGCAAGAGUACAAGCGGGCUUGACUGCGAGGCCCACAAGCCGAGCAGGUGCGAAAGCAGGCUCUAGUGAUCCGGCGGCCCCGAGUGGGUGGGCCGUCGCUCAACGGAUAAAAGGUACUCCGGGGAUAACAGGCUGAUCUUGCCCAAGAGUCCACAUCGACGGCAAGGUUUGGCACCUCGAUGUCGGCUCAUCGCAUCCUGGGGCUGGA
rnacentral:rRNA from 1 species